rnacentral:rRNA from 1 species
CGGCGUGGAUGAGGCAUGCAAGUCGUACGGACUUGAAAGGAUUUAUUCUUUCUUGUUAGUGGCGGAAGGGUUAGUAAUAUAUAUGUAACAUACCUUUUACCUGGGGAUAACCGAUAGAAAUAUUGGCUAAUACCGAAUGUGAUGUACAGUUGAAAUACUGUAUCUUAAAGUAGGGGAUCGAAAGACCUUGCGGUAAAAGAUUGGCGUAUACGAUAUCAGUUAGUUGGUGAGGUAAUGGCUCACCAAGACUAAGACGUCUAGGCGGAUUGAGAGAUUGGCCGCCAACACUGGGACUGA